rnacentral:rRNA from 1 species
AACGCGUGAGUAACCUGCCUUACACAAGGGGAUAGCCUCUGGAAACGGAGAAUAAUACCCUAUGAAACUAUCUUAUUGCAUGAAAAGAUAGUCAAAGUGUUUUAGCGGUGUAAGAUGGACUUGCGUCUGAUUAGCUAGUUGGUGAGAUAACAGCCCACCAAGGCAACGAUCAGUAGCCGGCUUGAGAGAGCGUACGGCCACAUUGGGACUGAGACACGGCCCAG